rnacentral:pre_miRNA from 1 species
GUGGCUGCCAGAUGGGUGCUCUCUACUAGUGCUGUGCAGAGGCUUUCACUGAGGCUGCUGUGAGCCUUAGGGUUUCCCCCUAGGCUACAGAGCCGG